rnacentral:rRNA from 1 species
UACGUAGGGACCGAGCGUUGUCCGGAAUCAUUGGGCGUAAAGAGCGUGUAGGCGCCACUUAAGUCCUGCGUGAAAUCUUGCGGCUCAACCGCAAGCGGUCGUGGGAAACUGGGUGGCUAGAGUGCGGGAGAGGUGAGUGGAACUGCGAGUGUAGAGGUGAAAUUCGUAGAUAUUCGCAAGAACACCAGUGGCGAAGGCGGCAUCCUGGACCGGUAUUGACGCUGAUGCGCGAAAGCCAGGGGAGCAAACGGG